GGUAAUAUGUAGAGGUGGGGGGAAUUACCGGGAAAACCGCUCACGAUUCUGGAAAUGAUGAUUUGGUGGCUUCACUUCGUCAUCAUAUCUCGAAUCGGACAGCGGGAUCUCGCCGCAUUCUCAAGUGCCAGCCGCGGACACUGAUAGUGUGGCGAAAUAGUGGGCAGAUCUCAAACACACGGGCAUGUUUCUUGUGGGAACAUUUUUAUAUAACUGAAUCCACCAGGGAUCAUCACCCGAACAAUCACGUAAAGAAGGGAUGGAAAUUCGUUCGUGGAUAACUGAAAAAGAUUUAAUUUUGGAGUGCCUAAUUUGAAUUCCUGCGUGCCAGAAGCCCUAUAUUGUGUGUUUUGUUUCAUACCGCUGUCCGAUAAGUAUAUUUAUUUUUCUGCUCUUCUUUUUAUUUGACGAAUUCAUUUUUAUUAUUUACAUCUUCCUAUUGACACGUUUAAUAUUGAACGUUAUAUUCUUAUAUAUAUAUUUGUGUGUGUGUGUGAAUUUAUUUAUUUAUUUAUAUUUUUUACAAUCGUUUUACAUAUAUGUAUUUCUAUUUUCUUUUUGAUUUUUUUUGUUUAAUGUACGGGACUGCAGCCCAAUAAUUUGAAUAUCUAUAUAUAAAGCUUAUUAAAUUGACCAGUAGAUUUCAUUUUUAUCAUUUUAUAUUUGAUCAUAUUAUUAGUCGCUAAAAUUUUAUAUUUAUUCUCUGGAUUGUAAUUUCGUUAUAUUUAUUUAUUAUUUGUCACCGUACGAUUAUUUGUUCGGUUACAUUAUUUUAAACCACUUUUAUUAUCAGCCCCUCAAUUUAAGACUGCUUUGCUGCCUUAAAAAAACAAAUAACAUGUGUUACUUGAUUAUUGAUAACAAUAUGAAAUCUUUUUAAUAAAUUGUUUAUCUUAA